UACGAAGGGGGCUAGCGUUGCUCGGAAUCACUGGGCGUAAAGCGCACGUAGGCGGAUCUUUAAGUCAGGGGUGAAAUCCCAAGGCUCAACCUUGGAACUGCCUUUGAUACUGGGGAUCUCGAGUCCGGAAGAAGUUGGUGGAACUGCGAGUGUAGAGGUGAAAUUCGUAGAUAUUCGCAAGAACACCAGUGGCGAAGGCGGCCAACUGGUCCGGUACUGACGCUGAGGUGCGAAAGCGUGGGGAGCAAACAGG
rnacentral:rRNA from 1 species